AUUUUUAUUGGUGGAUUAACGGAUGGUUUUCUAGCAACUGAAUACUUAGAACCUCUGGCAGUUGCUUUGGAUAGGGAGAAAUGGUCACUUGUUCAGCUGGUUAUGUCAUCAUCAUAUAGUGGAUUUGGAACUUCCAGCUUGCAACAAGAUGCCUUGGAGAUUGAUCAGCUUGUAAGUUAUUUGAUCAACAAAGAAAAUUCUGAGGGUGUGGUCCUACUUGGACACAG
rnacentral:misc_RNA from 1 species